UGGUGCGAUAAUACCAACAUCAAUGCAUCGGAUCCCAUCAGAACUCCGCAGUUAAGCGUGCUUGGGCUAGAGUAGUACUGGGAUGGGUGACCUUUGAAUUUAUAUUAUGUGACACACCUC
rnacentral:rRNA from 1 species